rnacentral:rRNA from 1 species
AGAGUUUGAUCCUAGCUCAGAUUGAACGCUGGCGGUAUGCUUAACACAUGCAAGUCGUACGAGAAAGUUUUUAAUGAGUAAAGUGGCGAACGGGUGAGUAAUGCAUAGGAAUCUACCUUAAAGUGGGGGAUAGCUUAAGGAAACUUAAGGUAAUACCGCAUGUUUUCUAUGGAAAAAAGUAGGGGAUUAAUUUUUUUUAGAUUAACCUUACGCUUUAAGAUGAGCCUAUGUCAGAUUAGUUUGUUGGUAAGGUAAAUGCUUACCAAGACAAAGAUCUGUAGCUGUUCUGAGAGGAUGAUCAGCCACACUGGGACUGAGAUACGGCCCAGACUCCUACGGGAGGCAGCAGUGAGGAAUAUUGGACAAUGGGCGCAAGCCUGAUCCAGCAAUACCGCGUGUGCGAUGAAGGCCUUCGGGUUGUAAAGCACUUUCGAUAAAGAAGAAAAGAUUAUUUAUAAUAUAUUUAAUUUAUGACGUUAUUUAUAGAAGAAGCACCGGCUAACUCUGUGCCAGCAGCCGCGGUAAUACAGGGGGUGCGAGCGUUAAUCAGAAUUAUUGGGCGUAAAAAGCACGUAGGUGGUUUUUUAAGUUAAUUGUGAAAUCCCUAAGCCUAACUUAGGAAGUGCAGUUAAUACUAAAUUUCUAGAAUAUGAUAGAGGGAAGUGGAAUUCUCGGUGUAGCGGUGAAAUGCUUAGAUAUCGAGAAGAACACCAGUGGCGAAGGCGACUUCCUGGAUCAAUAUUGACACUGAGGUGCGAAAGCGUGGGUAGCAAACAGGAUUAGAGACCCUGGUAGUCCACGCUGUAAACGAUGAAAACUAGAUGUUAAAAAUUAUAUUUUAGUAUCGUAGCUAACGCGUUAAGUUUUCUGCCUGGGGAGUACUGCCGCAAGGUUAAAACUCAAAGGAAUUGACGGGGGCCCGCACAAGCGGUGGAGCAUGUGGUUUAAUUCGAUGCAACGCGAAGAACCUUACCUGGUCUUGACAUCCACGGAAGUUUUCAGAGAUGAGAAUGUGCCUUCGGGAACCGUGAGACAGGUGCUGCAUGGCUGUCGUCAGCUCGUGUUGUGAAAUGUUGGGUUAAGUCCCGCAACGAGCGCAACCCUUGUCUUUAGUUGCCAUCAUUAAGUUGGGCACUCUAAAGAGACUGCCGGUGACAAACCGGAGGAAGGUGGGGAUGACGUCAAGUCAUCAUGCCCCUUAUGACCUGGGCUACACACGUGCUACAAUGGGCAGUACAACGAGAAGCGAACCCGCGAGGGUAAGCGGAUCUCUUAAAGCUGCUCUCAGUUCGGACUGCAGGCUGCAACUCGCCUGCACGAAGCUGGAAUCGCUAGUAAUCGCGGAUCAGCACGCCGCGGUGAAUACGUUCCCGGGCCUUGUACACACCGCCCGUCACACCAUGGAAGUCUGCAAUGCCCAAAGUCGGUGAGAUAACCUUUAUAGGAGUCAGCCGCCUAAGGCAGGGCAGAUGACUGGGGUGAAGUCGUAACAAGGUAGCCGUAGGAGAACCUGCGGCUG